rnacentral:rRNA from 1 species
GGGUCAGUAGGUUGGUCGUGCCACCGGUACGUACUGGCCUCACUGAUUCCUCCUUCCUGAAGAACCGUAAUGCCAUUAAUUUGGUGUUGCGGGGAAACAGGACUGUUACUUUGGAAAAAUUAGAGUGUUUAAAGCAAGCUAACGCUUGAAUACAUUAGCAUGGAAUAAUGAAAUAGGACGAUCGAUCCUAUUUUGUUGGUUUCUAGGAUUGACGUA